rnacentral:lncRNA from 1 species
GGAGGGAGACCACCAUCUUCUGGCGAUAUGGAAGUAGAGAAAGGCAAACAGGAGGGGAGCAAGUGAGGAAAAGAAGAGGAUGUGAAAAGCCCGAAGAAAGGCAGGAGAGCAAGAAGAUGUUUAUUGUGCUGGGUGUUCUUGGAGGCACUGAGGAUUCAGCAGUGAACGAAACAGACCUGAUCCCUGUCCGAAAGUCUCUGAAGGAGGGUGAAGAAUCAGCACGGGUAAUCGCAAGGUCAAUCUGGAAGCCUUCUGUCCACUUAACAGCAACACCGGCAGCACGGGUAAUUAGAGUUACAAGUGGGUAUAUCAUCAAGUAUUUUAUCAGCAUUGAAUCAUCUGAGUUUGACUUUUCAUUGUGACUGUUGAAAUUAGUUUGUUUUGCUCAUAAUAAUUUAUUUACUGUCAUUAUUUUUUAUAACAGGGUAUUGGACAGAAUUUCUUGUUCUUAAUGACUUUUCAAUAGGACUACAAGGUGGGAAAGAGCUAUCUUUGCCACCUUUAAUGAUUGAGCAUUUAUGUUUUAUUCCUGUGUGUGAAAUCUCAGAGAGAGCAAACAAAUAUAUUUAAUGCAAUAGCAUUUCUCAGAUCCUAGGAAAGCUAUUUUUUAAAAAGAACUUAGAGCCAGAAGGAUAAUCCAAUAACCAGGUAUUUAAUAAAGCACAAAAUAAAUGUGUUAGUCUAGAGCCAGGCUGUCUGAGUUUGAAUUCUGGCCCCUUAUUUAGCCCUGAGACUUUGUUCUAACUAUC